ACCAGACUCCUACGGGAGGCAGCAGUGGGGGAUAUUGCACAAUGGGGGGAACCCUGAUGCAGCGACGCCGCGUGGGUGAAGGAGUGCUUCGGCAUGUAAAGCCCUAUCGGCAGGGAAGAAGCAAGACGGUACCUGACUAAGAAGCCCCGGCUAACUACGUGCCAGCAGCCGCGGUAAUACGCAGGGGGCAAGCGUUAUCCGGAUUUACUGAGUGUAAAGGGAGCGUAGACGGCGAUGCAAGCCAGAUGUGAAAGCCCGGGGCUCAACCCCGGGACUGCAUUUGGAACUGUGUGGCUGGAGUGUCGGAGAGGCAGGCGGAAUUCCUAGUGUAGCGGUGAAAUGCGUAGAUAUUAGGAGGAACACCAGUGGCGAAGGCGGCCUGCUGGACGAUGACUGACGUUGAGGCUCGAAAGCGUGGGGAGCAAACAGGAUUAGAUACCCGCGUAC
rnacentral:rRNA from 1 species